AACGAACGCUGGCGGCAUGCCUAACACAUGCAAGCCGAACGAGACCUUCGGGUCUAGUGGCGCACGGGUGCGUAACGCGUGGGAACCUGCCCUUAGGUUCGGAAUAACUCCCCGAAAGGGGUGCUAAUACCGGAUAAUGUCUUCGGACCAAAGAUUUAUCGCCUUUGGAUGGGCCCGCGUUGGAUUAGCUAGUUGGUAGGAUAAAAGCCUACCAAGGCGACGAUCCAUAGCUGGUCUGAGAGGAUGAUCAGCCACACUGGGACUGAGACACGGCCCAGACUCCUACGGGAGGCAGCAGUGGGGAAUAUUGGACAAUGGGCGAAAGCCUGAUCCAGCAAUGCCGCGUGAGUGAUGAAGGCCUUAGGGUUGUAAAGCUCUUUUACCCGGGAUGAUAAUGACAGUACCGGGAGAAUAAGCUCCGGCUAACUCCGUG
rnacentral:rRNA from 1 species